GACGAACCGUGCGAACGUUGUUCGGAAUUACUGGGCGUAAAGGGCUCGUAGGUGGCCAACUAAGUCAGACGUGAAAUCCCUCGGCUUAACCGGGGAACUGCGUCUGAUACUGGAUGGCUUGAGUUUGGGAGAGGGAUGCGGAAUUCCAGGUGUAGCGGUGAAAUGCGUAGAUAUCUGGAGGAACACCGGUGGCGAAGGCGGCAUCCUGGACCAACACUGACACUGAGGAGCGAAAGCCAGGGGAGCAAACGGG
rnacentral:rRNA from 1 species